rnacentral:rRNA from 1 species
UACGUAGGGUGCAAGCGUUGUCCGGAAUUAUUGGGCGUAAAGAGCUCGUAGGCGGUUUGUCGCGUCGAAUGUGAAAACCCGGGGCUCAACCCCGGGCCUGCAUUCGAUACGGGCAGACUAGAGUUCGGCAGGGGAGACUGGAAUUCCUGGUGUAGCGGUGAAAUGCGCAGAUAUCAGGAAGAACACCGGUGGCGAAGGCGGAUCUCUGGGCCAUUACUGACGCUGAGGAGCGAAAGCGUGGGGAGCGAACAGG